UACAGAGGGGGCAAGCGUUAUUCGGAAUCACUGGGCUUAAAGCGCGUGUAGGCGGGUCGGUGCGUCGGCCGCUGAAAUCCCCCGGCUCAACCGGGGAAGGGGCGCCGAUACGACCGGCCUGGAGCGACGUAGGGGGAACUGGAACUUCCGGUGGAGCGGUGAAAUGCGUUGAGAUCGGAAGGAACGCCCGUGGCGAAAGCGAGUUCCUGGACGUCGGCUGACGCUGAGACGCGAAAGCCAGGGGAGCGAACGGG
rnacentral:rRNA from 1 species